rnacentral:rRNA from 1 species
GAUAACGGCGUCGAGCGGCGGACGGGUGAGUAAUGCCUAGGAAAUUGCCCUGAUGUGGGGGAUAACCAUUGGAAACGAUGGCUAAUACCGCAUGAUGCCUACGGGCCAAAGAGGGGGACCUUCGGGCCUCUCGCGUCAGGAUAUGCCUAGGUGGGAUUAGCUAGUUGGUGAGGUAAGGGCUCACCAAGGCGACGAUCCCUAGCUGGUCUGAGAGGAUGAUCAGCCACACUGGAACUGAGACACGGUCCAGACUCCUACGGGAGGCAGCAGUGGGGAAUAUUGCACAAUGGGCGCAAGCCUGAUGCAGCCAUGCCGCGUGUGUGAAGAAGGCCUUCGGGUUGUAAAGCACUUUCAGUCGUGAGGAAGGUAGUGUAGUUAAUAGCUGCAUUAUUUGACGUUAGCGACAGAAGAAGCACCGGCUAACUCCGUGCCAGCAGCCGCGGUAAUACGGAGGGUGCGAGCGUUAAUCGGAAUUACUGGGCGUAAAGCGCAUGCAGGUGGUUUGUUAAGUCAGAUGUGAAAGCCCGGGGCUCAACCUCGGAAUUGCAUUUGAAACUGGCAGACUAGAGUACUGUAGAGGGGGGUAGAAUUUCAGGUGUAGCGGUGAAAUGCGUAGAGAUCUGAAGGAAUACCGGUGGCGAAGGCGGCCCCCUGGACAGAUACUGACACUCAGAUGCGAAAGCGUGGGGAGCAAACAGGAUUAGAUACCCUGGUAGUCCACGCCGUAAACGAUGUCUACUUGGAGGUUGUGGCCUUGAGCCGUGGCUUUCGGAGCUAACGCGUUAAGUAGACCGCCUGGGGAGUACGGUCGCAAGAUUAAAACUCAAAUGAAUUGACGGGGGCCCGCACAAGCGGUGGAGCAUGUGGUUUAAUUCGAUGCAACGCGAAGAACCUUACCUACUCUUGACAUCCAGAGAACUUUCCAGAGAUGGAUUGGUGCCUUCGGGAACUCUGAGACAGGUGCUGCAUGGCUGUCGUCAGCUCGUGUUGUGAAAUGUUGGGUUAAGUCCCGCAACGAGCGCAACCCUUAUCCUUGUUUGCCAGCGAGUAAUGUCGGGAACUCCAGGGAGACUGCCGGUGAUAAACCGGAGGAAGGUGGGGACGACGUCAAGUCAUCAUGGCCCUUACGAGUAGGGCUACACACGUGCUACAAUGGCGCAUACAGAGGGCGGCCAACUUGCGAAAGUGAGCGAAUCCCAAAAAGUGCGUCGUAGUCCGGAUUGGAGUCUGCAACUCGACUCCAUGAAGUCGGAAUCGCUAGUAAUCGUGGAUCAGAAUGCCACGGUGAAUACGUUCCCGGGCCUUGUACACACCGCCCGUCACACCAUGGGAG